ACCUGGGUGGCUUGGUCGGUUUAGCGUCUGACUCUUGGUUUCAACUCAGGCCACAAUCUCGAGGUUUGUGGGUUCGAGCCCCACCCCGGGCU
rnacentral:tRNA from 1 species